GAUGAACGCUGGCGGCAUGCCUAAUACAUGCAAGUCGAGCGAACGGACCGGGAGCUUUCUUCUCUGAUGUUGGCGGCGGACGGAUGAGUAACUAAUGGAUAACCUACCUAUAAGACUCGGAUAACUUCGCGAAACCGGAGCUAAUACCGAAUGAUUUUUUGAACCUCAUGGUUCACAAGUGAAAUAAGGUAUUGCUGUCACUUAUAGAUGGAUCCGGGCUGCUUUAGCUAGUUGGUAAGGUAACGGCUUACCAAGGCAAGGAUGCAAAGCGGACCUGAGAGGGUCGUCGGCUACACUGGAACUGAGACACGGUCCAGACUCCUACGGGAGGCAGCGGUAGAGAAUCUUCCGCAAUGGGCGAAAGCCUGACGUAGCCACGCCGCGUAAGUGAUGAAGGUCCUCGGAUCGGAAAACUCUGUUAUUAGUGAAGAAGAAAUAUGUAAGUAACUGGGCACAUCUUGACGGUACCGAAUCAGAAAGCCACGGCUAACUACGUG
rnacentral:rRNA from 1 species